rnacentral:rRNA from 1 species
AGCAGCCGCGGUAAUUCCAGCUCCAAUAGCGUAUAUUAAAGUUGUUGCAGUUAAAAAGCUCGUAGUUGAAUUUCGGGGUCAGUAGGUUGGUCAUGCCACUAGUAUGUACUGGUCUCACUGAUUCCUCCUUCCUGAUGAACUGUAAUGCCAUUAAUUUGGUGUUGCAGGGAAUCUGGACUGUUACUUUGAAAAAAUUAGAGUGUUUAAAGCAGGCUAACGCCUGAAUACAUUAGCAUGGAAUAAUGAAAUAGGACGUUCGAUCCUAUUUUGUUGGUUUCUAGGAUUGACGUAAUGAUUAAUAGGGAUAGUUGGGGGCAUUAGUAUUCAAUUGUCAGAGGUGAAAUUCUUGGAUUUAUUGAAGACUAACUACUGCGAAAGCAUUUGCCAAGGAUGUUUUCAUUAAUCAAGAACGAAAGUUAGGGGAUCGAAGACGAUCAGAUACCGUCGUAG